rnacentral:rRNA from 1 species
AUUGAACGCUGGCGGCAUGCCUAACACAUGCAAGUCGAACGGCAGCACAAUAUGUAGCAAUACAUAUGGGUGGCGAGUGGCGGACGGGUGCGUAAUGUGUAGGGAUCUGCCCUGAAGUGGGGGACAACCCGGGGAAACUCGGGCUAAUACCGCAUAAUACUCUACGGAGGAAAUCUGGCUACGCAAGUAGCUGGGGCUUUAGGAUGAACCUACAUCCGAUUAGCUAGUUGGUGAGGUAAUGGCUCACCAAGUCGAUGAUAGGUAGCUGGUCUGGGAGGAUGACCAGCCACACUGGGACUGAGACAAGGCCCAGAAUCCUACGGGAGGCAGCAGUGGGGAAUAUUGGACAAUGGGGGAAACCCUGAUCCAGCAAUGCCGCGUGGGUGAAGAAGGCCGUCGGGUUGUAAAGCCCUUUAGGCGGGGAAGAAGGUUUUAGGGUGAUAAGCCUUAAAAUUUGACGGUACCCGCAGAAUAAGCACCGGCUAACUCUGUGCCAGCCGCCGCAGUAA